CAUGUCAGAAAUAAUUUUUCUACGAACAAAAAGAGUUUAGUAUCUCAUUCCAACUUUUCAAAUCAACAGGCAAAUCAUAACUUUAUUUUACAACAGACAUGCUGAUUUAAUCUGUAAAUGCUCUAGACUCUGCUGUAGUUUGUUAAUAUCUGUUUAUGCAGGAUGAAGGCGUAAUUUCGCCCCAGUCAGUUCGUCCCCAAUUUUAAUGGAAUUGGUUAGAGAUCCGUUACUUAAUAUACAAUAAGUAACAUAUUUCACCAAGAUUCCUGUGAAUUUCACCAAGAUUCCUGUGACAGUCAGUUUUAUGAGUCAAGGUUACAACAAGAUCUCAUUUCUGCAUCUGGAAGAGUCUACUUCACCAAAGAUGUGUUUGAGCUUCUCUGUGAAUUGGGAAACCAUGCCUUCGUGUCUGCACAGGCUUUUGCAGAGACAUACAGUUCUGUCUUCCACAACGAGCAUCCUCACAUGAAACAGUUCAUUGCAUGGCAAUGUCAUAUGAGACUCACAAGUACAAAUGGUAGUCAGUGAAGUCAUCCUGUCUCGGAACAAGACCAGAUGGGGUGUCAUGAAGAACGGUGUUUUUGAGGAGAAAACCAACUUUGCGUUUCAACUGAAAUACAGUGUAGCCACCACAUUACCAUCUGGGCCAGGAUAUGUUGUAGACAUAGUCAGAUCUGCUGACAACAAGCAAGGGUAAGAAUGAAUUAUGUUGGUAUAAGACUGGAAAAAUACCCACUUCAUUGUACCCACCGACAACAAAGUUGUAAGGGGGGGUAUACUGGUUUCAGGUUGUCUGUGUGUCCGUAGACGCAAUCUUGUGCGCACCAUCUCUCCUUAUCCCCUUGACAGAAUUUAAUGAAACUUCACACAAGUGAUUAGUACCAACAGUAGUUGUGCAUGGGGCAUGUUAGGUUCUUUUAGAAAAAAAAUUUGCAGAGUUAUGGGACUUUGUUUUUUUGUUACUAUACUAUAUACAUAGACACAAUCUUGUGCGCACCAUCUCUCCUCAUCCCCUUGACACAAUUUAAUGAAACUUCACACAAGUGAUCAGUACCAACAGUAGUUGUGCAUGGGGCAUGUUAGGUUCUUUUAGAAAAAAAAUUUGCAGAGUUAUGGGACUUUGUUUUUUUGUUACUAUACUAUAUACAUAGACACAAUCUUGUGCGCACCAUCUCUCCUCAUCCCCUUGACACAAUUUAAUGAAACUUCACACAAGUGAUCUGUAACAACAGUAGUUGUGCAUGGAGCAUGUUAGGUUCUUUCAGAAAAAAAUUUUGCAGAGUUAUGGGACUUUGUUUUUUUUGUUACUAUACUAUAUACAUAGACACAAUCUUGUGCACACCAUCUCUCCUCAUCCCCUUGACACAAUUUAAUGAAACUUCACACAACUGAUCAGUAACAACAGUAGUUGUGCAUGGGGCAUGUUAGGUUCUUUCAGCGACAAAAAUUGCAGAGUUAUGGGACUUUGUUUCUUGUUAACAUACUAUGUACAUACAGUCUGCAUAUGCAAUCUUGUGCGUGCCUAAUCUACCAAACCCUUGCACACAAUUUAAUGAAACUUCACACAAGUGAUCAGUACCAACCUUAGUUGUGCAUGGUGCAUGUUACAUUCUUUUAGAUAAAUAUUCUGCAUAGUUAUGGGACUUUGUU